CUACGGGCGGCUGCAGUGAGGAAUAUUGCACAAUGGGGGGAACCCUGAUGCAGCAACGCCGCGUGGAGGAUGACGCAUUACGGUGUGUAAACUCCUUUUAUAUGUCAAGAAAAUGACGGUAGCAUAUGAAUAAGCACCGGCUAACUCCGUGCCAGCAGCCGCGGUAAUACGGAGGGUGCAAGCGUUACUCGGAAUCACUGGGCGUAAAGGACGCGUAGGCGGGUUGGAAAGUCAGGUGUGAAAUCCUACGGCAUAACUGUAGAACUGCACUUGAAACUUCUAAUCUAGAGUAUGGGAGGGGGAGAUGGAAUUAGUGGUGUAGGGGUAAAAUCCGUAGAUAUCACUAGGAAUACCUAAAGCGAAGGCGAUCUCCUGGAACAUUACUGACGCUAAGGCGUGAAAGCGUGGGGAGCAAACAGGAUUAGAUACCCUCGUAGUC
rnacentral:rRNA from 1 species